rnacentral:rRNA from 1 species
UACGUAGGGGGCAAGCGUUGUCCGGAAUCAUUGGGCGUAAAGCGCGCGUAGGCGGCCCGAUCAGUCCGCUGUUAAAGUCCAGGGCUCAACCCUGGAAAGCCGGUGGAUACUGUCGGGCUAGAGUCCGGAAGAGGCGAGUGGAAUUCCUGGUGUAGCGGUGGAAUGCGCAGAUAUCAGGAGGAACACCGAUAGCGAAGGCAGCUCGCUGGGACGGUACUGACGCUGAGGUGCGAAAGCGUGGGGAGCGAACAGG